UACGUAGGGGGCAAGCGUUGUCCGGAAUCAUUGGGCGUAAAGAGCGUGUAGGCGGCCCGAUAAGUCCGCUGUGAAAGUCCAGGGCUCAACCCUGGGAUGCCGGUGGAUACUGUCGGGCUCGAGUCCGGAAGAGGCGAGUGGAAUUCCUGGUGUAGCGGUGGAAUGCGCAGAUAUCAGGAGGAACACCUAUAGCGAAGGCAGCUUGCUGGGACGUUACUGACGCUAAGGCGCGAAAGCGUGGGGAGCGAACAGG
rnacentral:rRNA from 1 species